GGCAAGGUCCACAUUGCAAACCUCAGCUUGGCAUGAAGAAAACAGAGCUCAGUGCACUCUGCCAGACCCUGCUGAACAGACUGCACCAGAGGGAAAUUUCCGACUCGAGAGGUUGCUCCUCAUCAUUUGUUCCCGCCAAGCUUUGGUGUGAAGACUGCUUUCUAGGCUAAGACAUCUCCCACGAUGUUCCUAUUGCAAGGUGCCCAGAUGCUGCAGAUGCUGGAGAAUUCCUUGAGGAAGAGCCUUCCUACAUCCUUGAAGGUUUAUGGCACCGUCUUCCACAUGAACCAGGGAAACCCCUUCAAGCUAAAGGCCUUGGUGGACAAGUGGCCUGAUUUUAACACAGUGGUUAUUCGCCUCAAGAGCAGGUAAGA